UACGUAGGGGGCAAGCGUUGUCCGGAAUCAUUGGGCGUAAAGCGCGUGUAGGCGGCUCGGUAAGUCUGCUGUGAAAGUCCAGGGCUCAACCCUGGAAUGCCGGUGGAAACUGUCGGGCUAGAGUCCGGAAGAGGCGAGUGGAAUUCCUGGUGUAGCGGUGAAAUGCGCAGAUAUCAGGAGGAACACCAAUGGCGAAGGCGGCUCGCUGGGACGGUACUGACGCUGAGACGCGAAAGCGUGGGGAGCAAACAGG
rnacentral:rRNA from 1 species